GAUGAACGCUGGCGGCGUGCCUAAUACAUGCAAGUCGAGCGAACAGACGAGGAGCUUGCUCCUCUGACGUUAGCGGCGGACGGGUGAGUAACACGUGGAUAACCUACCUAUAAGACUGGGAUAACUUCGGGAAACCGGAGCUAAUACCGGAUAAUAUAUUGAACCGCAUGGUUCAAUAGUGAAAGACGGUUUUGCUGUCACUUAUAGAUGGAUCCGCGCCGCAUUAGCUAGUUGGUAAGGUAACGGCUUACCAAGGCGACGAUGCGUAGCCGACCUGAGAGGGUGAACGGCCACAAGGGGACUGAGACACGGCCCUUACUCCUACGGGAGGCAGCAGUGGGGAAUAUUGGACAAUGGACCAAGAGUCUGAUCCAGCAAUUCUGUGUGCACGAUGAAGUUUUUCGGAAUGUAAAGUGCUUUCAGUUGGGAAGAAAAAAAUGACGGUACCAACAGAAGAAGUGACGGCUAAAUACGUG
rnacentral:rRNA from 1 species